GCUUGUACAACGUUUUUGGUCUGAGAUCCCUUUCUGGGAUCUCAGACCAAAAACGUUGUACUAGCUAAUGUAAGUGUACAUAUAUUUAUGGUCUGAAAUCCAUUAUUAAGUUAAUAAUUUUUUCAAAAACACCACGAACUCAACAAUAAACGUUCAUAACAAAGAAUUAUAGGUUAAAUACGCCAUUUAAUCUGACCGUUCAUAUUUGAACCUUCGAAAAACUGUACGAGAGUCCGGAAAGCUUUCAUUGGCUGAUCCUUAUACGCAUUCCGGAUUCCAGACGUCUAUUCCGCUGCAUGUGAUCGUAGCCUAAAUGUUUGGCCGGCCUGUUCCCAUGAUGCGUCAUAGAUGGACGAUGACGCAUUCGAAAUGAAAAUAAUAAAUGUAAUACAACUUUUAUUAAAAUAAAUCAGUUUUUAUAAAAUAUAAUAUUUGUAUAAUAACAAUAAUAAUCAUUAAUAUAAUGUUAUAUAAAAUUUUGUAUUGAAUAUUAUAAAGUUAAAAACAAUAUUUUCAAAUUUUUGAACUUCAUUGACGUAUUCUUAGUCAUUUUUCCGCACCAUGUGAACAGGCCGGUCAAAAAUUUGCGGAAUGCGGAAUGCGUAAUACAGCCUCGGUCAUACACGCCAUGCAAUAUGUUGAAGUUUUUUGAUAAAACUUUGUUUUUUGUCAGAAAAUAGUGAAGAUUGCGAAUAUGGAAAAUUAAAUAGUGAUGGUUUAAGAGUCUAUUAAAGUUUUAAUGAUAGUAUACGUGAGAACUCCAAUGCUCCAGUAUUGAAAGGAAAAAAUACGAUUUGCUUUAGUGAAAUUAUUGUUAUUGUAUACAAAAUUAUCAAAAGAGAAAUCCAAAAGAAGGAUGUGGUUAGGCCUGUUUAUUCAAUUGAGCAGCGUUUUUUUCAAAGAGAUAGUGACAAUUUAGUUAAUAUGUUACGAAUGGCAGAUCCUUUACUAUAUUUUAAUUAUUUAAGAAUGAAUACUAGCAUCUUUGAAGAUCUACAUUAAUAGUAGGACCUGAAAUUGAAAAACAAUUACAUAUUAGAGAACCAAUUAUUUCAUAUACAAGACUGCAAAUAUGCUUAAGGUAUUUAGCAAGUGGAGAUAGCAAUUGGAUAUGCUUUUCGAGUUGCACCAAAUACUGUCUGAGAAAUAGUUCACGAAACUUGCAAAGAAAUAUGGCUCAAAUUAAAAGAUUUAGUUAUACUUGUACCUGACAAAGAUGGAUGAAUGAAAAUUGCUGAAGAGUUUGAAGCAAUCUGGAAUUUUCCCCAUUGCAUUGGUGCUAUAGAUGGGAAACAUAUUCAGAUAGAGGCUCCACCUCACAGUGAUUCCACAUAUUUCAAUUACAAAAAAACACAUAGUAUAAAAUCUUACUGCUGUUUCUGAUGCACGUUACAAAUUUAUUUUGGAUGUGGGAGCGGAAGGUCGAUGUAAUGAUGCAGGAGCAUUUGCUAACAGUAAAUUAAAAGCAAGACUUGAAAGAAAUACUUUAGAUAUACCUCCACCUUCUAAAGUUUGCCAAUAUGAAUUGCCAUUUGUUUUGGUAGAUGAUGAGGCAUAUCCAUUAUCACCUUAUUUGAUGCGUCCUUAUCUAAGAUGUUCACAACUAGACCUAAUAAAAAAA